rnacentral:lncRNA from 1 species
ACAUAAAUUUAGUGAAGGGUUGUAGUUUUAUGGUCAAUUGAGUAUGAUGGAAGCUCAUUUAGUUUGAUAACACAAGAGCAACUGGAUCUUUGAUACACUUCUGAGAACUGCUACUAGCAAUUCUUGCUCACUGAUGAAACAUGUGGUCAUGAACAGAUUAAUAAACCAGCUAAUCAGGAGAAAGUAAUGGCAGCCAGUCCAUGUGUCAUCAACAUACCGUGAAUGGCAUUCACAGCAAACGCUAGACAGCCAUGGAUAACUUUUCUGAUUCACUUGUGAUCUCACUGUCAUCGUUCCUGAAGCAAAAGCAUU